AAAAAAGGCUUCUGUUGUGAGUGGCACAUGUAGGGCAGCUUGAUUGCUCUACCUGCAGGAUCGACAUCAGGGUUUCGGAAGCAGAAUAUUUUGGUGUCUGGGCAGCUGGUGAUCGUUGGUUCUGGCGCCUGU